rnacentral:rRNA from 1 species
GACGAACGCUGGCGGCGUGCUUAACACAUGCAAGUCCGGGGGCGGGGUAACCCGUCACCGGCGAACGGGUGCGGAACACGUGAGCGACCUGCCCUGGUGUGGGGGAUAGCCGGCCCAACGGCCGGUUAAUACCGCAUACGGCGCCCGCUUGGAAGCGGUAGGCGAAACUCGCAAGAGGCGCUAGGAGGGGCUCGCGGCCUAUCAGCUAGUUGGUGCGGUAACGGCGCACCAAGGCGAUGACGGGUAGCUGGUCUGAGAGGAUGGCCAGCCACAUGGGGACUGAGAGACGGCCCAGACGCCUACGGGAGGAAGCAGUGGGGAAUAUUGCGAAAUGGGCGAAAGCCUGACGCAGCGAAGCCGCGUGGAGGAUGAGGCCCUUCGGGGUGUAAACUCCUGUUGCCCGGGACGAAUGCACCGCAUCGGAGGGGUUGACGGUACCGGGUGAGGAAGCACCGGCUAACUCUGUG